rnacentral:rRNA from 1 species
CCUACGGGAGGCAGCAGUGAGGAAUAUUGGUCAAUGGACGAGAGUCUGAACCAGCCAAGUAGCGUGAAGGAUGACUGCCCUAUGGGUUGUAAACUUCUUUUAUAUGGGAAUAAAAUGGUCCACGUGUGGGAUUAGGUAGGUACCAUAUGAAUAAGGAUCGGCCCACCCCGUGCCAGCAGCCGCGGUAAUACGGAGGAUCCGAGCGUUAUCCGGAUUUAUUGGGUUUAAAGGGAGCGUAGGUGGAUUGUUAAGUCAGUUGUGAAAGUUUGCGGCUCAAACGUAAAAUUGCAGUUGAAACUGGCAGUCUUGAGGACAGUAGGAGUGAGCGGAAUUCGUGGUGGAGCGGUGAAAUGCUUAGAUAUCACGAAGAACUCCGAUUGCGAAGGCAGGUCACUGGACUGCAACUGACACUGAGGCUCGAAAGUGUGGGUAUCAAACAGGAUUAGAUACCCGGGUAGUC